AGAGUUUGAUCCUGGCUCAGGAUGAACGCUGGCGGCGUGCUUAACACAUGCAAGUCGAGCGAAGCACCUUGACGGAUUUCUUCGGAUUGAAGCCUUGGUGACUGAGCGGCGGACGGGUGAGUAACGCGUGGGUAACCUGCCUCAUACAGGGGGAUAACAGUUGGAAACGGCUGCUAAUACCGCAUAAGCGCACAGUACCGCAUGGUACCGUGUGAAAAACUCCGGUGGUAUGAGAUGGACCCGCGUCUGAUUAGCUAGUUGGUGGGGUAACGGCCUACCAAGGCGACGAUCAGUAGCCGACCUGAGAGGGUGACCGGCCACAUUGGGACUGAGACACGGCCCAAACUCCUACGGGAGGCAGCAGUGGGGAAUAUUGCACAAUGGGGGAAACCCUGAUGCAGCGACGCCGCGUGAGCGAUGAAGUAUUUCGGUAUGUAAAGCUCUAUCAGCAGGGAAGAAAAUGACGGUACCUGACUAAGAAGCCCCGGCUAACUACGUGCCAGCAGCCGCGGUAAUACGUAGGGGGCAAGCGUUAUCCGGAUUUACUGGGUGUAAAGGGAGCGUAGACGGCAUGGCAAGCCAGAUGUGAAAGCCCGGGGCUCAACCCCGGGACUGCAUUUGGAACUGUCAGGCUAGAGUGUCGGAGAGGAAAGCGGAAUUCCUAGUGUAGCGGUGAAAUGCGUAGAUAUUAGGAGGAACACCAGUGGCGAAGGCGGCUUUCUGGACGAUGACUGACGUUGAGGCUCGAAAGCGUGGGGAGCAAACAGGAUUAGAUACCCUGGUAGUCCACGCC
rnacentral:rRNA from 1 species